rnacentral:lncRNA from 1 species
UAUGGCUACGCCAGAAACACUUGUCGGACAGUCCGGAAUCUCCUGCCGGGCAUGCCGGAACCACCUCUCAGAGGUGCCACAACCACAUGCCAGAGACGGCGGAAGCACCUGCCGAGAAUGCCGGAAGUUCCUGAUCCACUCCACAGAACCACCAGCCGGACACGCCAAAAUCACCUGCCGGCUAUGCCAGAACCACUUGGCGGACAUUCCAGAAUCACUUGUCGGGCAUGCCAGCACAACCUCUCAGAAGUGCCAGAAGCAUGUGCCGAACAGGCCGGAACCAUCUCCCGGACAGACCAGAACCACCUGCCAGACAGACCAGAACCAAGGAAACACUCGCAGGAACCACCUGCUUGACUCACCGGUCCCACCUGCCGGACAUGCCAAAAUCACCUGCCCGCUACACCAGAACCACUUGGCGGACAAGCUGGAAUCACAUGAAUGGCAUGCCGACACAACCACUCAGACGUGCCAGAACCUCAUGCCGUACACCCCAGAACCACCUGCCGGACAGACCGAAACCACCUUCCGGACAUGCUGGAACCACCGGCUCGACUCGCCAGAACCACCGCGGGACAUGCAAAAUCACCUGCCGGCAAUGCCAGAACCAUUUGGCGAACACUCCAGAGUCACCUGCCGGGCAUGCCGGAACCACCUGCUCGACUCGCCACAGCCACCUGCCUGACACACCAAAAUCACGUGCCGGCUAUGCCACAACCAGUUGGUGAAGACUUCGGAAUCACCUGCCGGGCUGGCUGGAACCACCUGCCGGUCACACCAACAUCACCUGUCAGCUCCACCAGAACCACUUGGCGGACACUCCGGAAACACCUGUCGGGCCGUCCAGAACCACCUCUCAGACGUGGCAGAACCAUGUGCCUCAGAUGCCGGAACCACACCCCAACAGACCAAAACCACCUGCCAGUCCCGCCUGAACCACCUGCCGAGCACGCCGGAGCCACCUGCUCGACUUGCCGGAACCAACUACCUGACAUGACAAAAUCACCUGCCGCCUAUGCCAGAAUCACUUGGCGAACACUCUGGAAUCAUCUGCCAGACAGGCCAGAACCAGCUCUCAGACACACCAGAAUCACGUGCCAGACACACCGAAGCACCUGCUGCGCAUGCCUGAGCCACCUGCUCGACUCGCAAGAAACACCUGCCGGACACGCCAAAAUCACCUGCCAGGUACGCCAGAACCACUCGAUGGACACUCCGGAAUCACCUGUCGGGCAUGCCGGAACCACCUCUCAGAGGUGCCAGAACCACAUCCUGGACACUCCGGAAUCACCUGUCGUGCAUGCCGGAUCCACCUCUCAGACUUGCCAGAACAAGUUCCGGACACGCCGGUACCACCUGCAGAGUAUGACAGAACCACCUGCUCCACUCCACAGAACCGCCUGCCGGACACGCCAAAAUCACGUGCCGGCUAUGCCAGGGCCACUUGGCGGACACUCCAGAAUAAC